CGGGAAACCGGGGCUAAUACCGGAUAAUACAUGAAACCGCAUGGUUUCAUGAUGAAAGACGGUUUUGCUGUCACUUAUAGACGGACCCGCGGCGUAUUAGCUAGUUGGUAAGGUAACGGCUUACCAAGGCAACGAUACGUAGCCGACCUGAGAGGGUGAUCGGCCACACUGGAACUGAGACACGGUCCAG
rnacentral:rRNA from 1 species